UGCAAAUUCAUUGCGUAGACCAGGUUGGU
rnacentral:piRNA from 1 species